UACGACGGGGGCUAGCGUUGUUCGGCAUUACUGGGCGUAAAGCGCGCGCAGGCGGGUCAUCAAGUCAGGGGUGAAAGCCCAGAGCUCAACUCUGGAACUGCCCUUGAAACUGGUGACCUUGAGUACGGGAGAGGUGAGUGGAAUUCCCAGUGUAGAGGUGAAAUUCGUAGAUAUUCGCAAGAACACCAGUGGCGAAGGCGGCUCACUGGCCCGAUACUGACGCUGAGGUGCGAAAGCGUGGGGAGCAAACAGG
rnacentral:rRNA from 1 species